rnacentral:rRNA from 1 species
UACGUAGGGUGCAAGCGUUGUCCGGAAUUAUUGGGCGUAAAGAGCUCGUAGGCGGUUCGUCGCGUCGGCUGUGAAAACCCGGAGCUCAACUCCGGGCCUGCAGUCGAUACGGGCGGACUUGAGUGUUGCAGGGGAGACUGGAAUUCCUGGUGUAGCGGUGAAAUGCGCAGAUAUCGGGAGGAACACCAGUGGCGAAGGCGGUACUCUGGGCCGGAACUGACGCUGAGGAGCGAAAGCGUGGGUAGCGAACAGG